rfam:Canis lupus familiaris chromosome 30, whole genome shotgun sequence.
GCCUGGGUGGCUCAGUGGUUGAGCAUCUGCCUUCUGCCCAGGGCAUGAUCCCGGGAUCUUGGGAUCGAGUCCCACGUCGGGCU